rnacentral:rRNA from 1 species
UAAUACGGAGGUGGCAAGCGUUGUUCGGAUUUAUUGGGUGUAAAGGGCAUGUAGGUGUCCUGGUAAGUUCUGAUUGAAAUCCUUCGGCUCAACCGAAGAACGUGUCAGAAUACUGCCAGGAUUGAGUGCGGAAGAGGAGAACGGAAUUCCCGGUGUAAGGGUGAAAUCUGUAGAUAUCGGGAGGAACACCAGUGGCGAAGGCGGUUCUCUGGUCCGCAACUGACACUGAAAUGCGAAAGCUAGGGGAGUAAACAGGAUUAGAUACCCUGGUAAUCCUAGCCGUAAACGAUGGGCACUAGGUGUGGGCCCGCAAGGGUCUGUGCCGCAGUUAACACAUUAAGUGCCCCACCUGGGGACUACGGCCGCAAGGUUG